rnacentral:rRNA from 1 species
AUUGAACGCUGGCGGCAGGCUUAACACAUGCAAGUCGAGCGAGCGGCGGACGGGUGAGUAAUGUCUGGGAAACUGCCUGAUGGAGGGGGAUAACUACUGGAAACGGUAGCUAAUACCGCAUACCAUCAGAUGUGCCCAGAUGGGAUUAGCUGGUAGGUGGGGUAAUGGCUCACCUAGGCGACGAUCCCUAGCUGGUCUGAGAGGAUGACCAGCACCACAGGAACUGAGACACGGGCCAGACGCCUACGGGAGGCGGCAGUGGGGAAUAUUGCGCAAUGGGCGCAAGCCGGAUGCAGACACGCGGCGUGUGUGAAGAGGGCCUUCGGGUUGUAAAGCACUUUCAGCGAGGAGGCGUUACUCGCAGAAGAAGCACCGGCUAACUCCGUGCCAGCAGCCGCGGUAAUAC